rnacentral:rRNA from 1 species
UAGUCCACGCCGUAAACGAUGAGCACUAGGUUUUGGGGGUAUUGACCCCUUCAGAACCACGGCUAACGCAUUAAGUGCUCCGCCUGGGGAGUACGGUCGCAAGACUAAAACUCAAAGGAAUUGACGGGGCCCGCACAAGCGGUGGAUUAUGUGGUUUAAUUCGAAGCAACGCGAAGAACCUUACCUGGGCUUGAACUCCUGAGAAGACAGAGUAAUGUUUGUUGUGCCCUUCGGGGAACUCAGUGAGAGGUGCUGCAUGGCUGUCGUCAGCUCGUGUUGUGAAAUGUUGGGUUAAGUCCCGCAACGAGCGCAACCCCUAUUUUUAGUUGCCAGCAUUAAGUUGGGCACUCUAGAGAGACUGCCUGGGUUAACCAGGAGGAAGGUGGGGAUGACGUCAAGUCCUCAUGGCCCUUAUGUCCAGGGGCUACACACGUAAUACAAUGGUACAUACAAUGGGGAAGCGAACUCGCGAGGGGAAGCAAAUCUACAAAAAGUGUAUCUCAGUCCGGGAUUGAAGUCUGCAAC